GGACAGCUGAGUGGGGGGUAUAAUAAUGUUCUCUGGUAUUUAGGAACUUCAAAUUUAGUUAAGUAUGUCACAGGGGAGGGAGAAUACCUAUUCGAUUUAUAGACUCUAAAGGCUGAGGUCCUGACUAGAGCCAAUUGGGCACUCUGUAUCUGCUACAUGCUGCUUAAUGAGUAUUUUGGCCUGAUGGUAUACCAUGCUGGAGAAAAGCCCAGGGAUGACAUUUUACCACUGCCUGUUUCCGUUUGGAUUGUUAAUGAGCAAGCCAAGGAGAAAUAAAGAAUAAUUUGAGCCAGACGGGUCCUCAAAAGAAGGAAAGAUAGCUCAAUGGGAGAGAGUGUCUGUAAGCAGAAGAACUGGAUUCCCUGACCUGUCUGGGUUCAAUGGAUUGGGUAGCUGGAGAACUGCUGCCAAUCAGAGCAAAACAAUUCAAGGUCAAAUGAGCAAUAUUUUGACCUGGUAUAAGGCUUCCUUCUAUGUAAAACCUUCUGGCCUGUCUCUUCUGACAGUGGUUUCACUCUGAGGAGAAGUACAUGAUGAAAACAGCAGUACUGUAUUCCCAUUUCUCUUUCAGCCAGAUAUUACAUCUUGAUACUGAACAAAAGACAGGGCAUGCUUAUUUGUUUUUGUGGGCUUUGAUUCAUUGAUCUCUUUUUAAAAAAAAACAACAACAAUGGGGCAAUUCUUUUUUUUAAAGGCUAACUUUCUAAAACGAAAAGAAAAAAAAGUUUUCACCUACAAGUGUGACAGCAGUCCUGCAUAUUUUGCACCCAAAAUAAAAAUUCUGUCUACAUAGAGG